UCCAUCUCAAUUCCUUAUCAUUCACCAGUCCGGUGCGUUUUAUGUUUUAUCAACUGGACGGAGAACUGAUAAGGGCUUGAGCAUGG
rnacentral:pre_miRNA from 1 species